GAAGGUGUUAGCAGAACCUGGUUGGUUGUGACGACGGCUUCAGGCGUGAGCAGAACCUGUUUGGUUGUGAGGUUGGCUUCAGGCGUGAGCAGAACCUGGUUGCUAGUGACAUCGGCUUCAGGCGUGAGCAUAACCUGGUUGUUUGUGACGUCGGCUUCAGGCUUGAGCAGAACCUGGUUGGUCAUGACAUCAGCUUCAGGUGUGAGCAGAACCUGAUUGGUCGUGACGUUGGUUUCAGGCGUGAGCAGAACCUGGUUGGUCGUGAUGUUGAUUUCAGGCAUGAGCAGAACCUGGUUGGUCGUGAUGUUGGUUUCAGGUGUGAGCAGAACUGGUUGGUCAUGACGUCGGUUUCAGGCAUGAGGAGAACUUGGUUGGUUGUGUCAACAGACUCAGGAAUGAGCAUAACUUUGUUGUCCAUGUCAGCGACCUUGGCCUGGAGCUUGGUGUGGGUGGUCGCCUCAUCAGACUGGAACUUGGCAUGGAAGCUCACAACGUCAAUCUCAAACUGGAACUUAGCGUGGAAGGUCACAUCGUCAAUCCCAGACUGGAACUUAGCGUGGGGGGUCACGUUGUUGAUCUCAGACUGGAACCUGUCUUGGGAGGUCACCUCGUCGAUCUUUAACUGGAACUUGGCAUGGGAGAUCGCGUCGUCGACUUCAGACAGGAACUUGGUGUAGGAGGUCGCCUCAUCGACCUCAGACAGGAACAUGUCUUGGCAGGCUGCCUAGUCGAUCUCAGACAGGAAUGUGUCUUGGGAAGCCGUCUCUUUUCGACCUCGGACAGUAACUGGGCUGUAGAGGUCGUCUCUUCGACCUCAGACAGGAACAUGGCUUGGGAGGCCGUCUCGUUGACCUCAGAUAGGAACAUGGCAUGGGAGGACACCUCGUUGUCUUCUAGCAGGAACUUGACUUUAUGCUGGAGCUCUGGAGAUGAGACCGCCUCGUGGGGGGCUCAUGCUGGAGCUCUGGGAAUGAGACCGCCAUGUAGGUGUCAUGCUGGAGCUCUGCAGAUGAGACUACCUCGUGGGUCUCAGGUUAGAGCUCUGGAAAUGAGGUUGCCAUGUUAACCUCCAGCUGGAGGUCUGCAGGUGAGACCACCUCGUGGGUUUGGGGAGGAGGUCACCCUGUUUGCCUGCUCGUAGGUAUAUCUGCGACGCUGUCCCCCCCCAAGAAAAUUUUUUCCAGUCAGCAGUCAGCAAGAAAAUAUUUAGGGUAGCUAAAAAACUCAUCGUAUGGAUCUGGGAGUCCUAUAACAGUCCACAGGGGUAACUGGAUCGAAUCCAAACCUGGGACACAAUGAACCCGAGCCACUGCCCUUUGUCUGGCUUGGGGUUCACCAGUGUGGUUUCUUCUCCAUCUUCCUGCUGCAUCCAUGGUGUGGCGAAGUAUUCUGUCACGAGAUCGACAUAAUGGAGGUUAGGAUGGAUGCAAAUGCAGAUAAGAGUUUAUCUAGAGAGAGACAGGCAGACCAAUCCAAAACAUGUAACAAGCAAGGUCAAGAAACAGGCAAUGGGUCAGGCGAUUGUCAAGCAGGCAUAAAAAUGGCAAGGUAAGAAUCAAGAAUGAGAAACAAGAAGCAAAAUCAAUGGACAUGAAACAAAAUGAGGAACAGGGUACAAACGCUUGGUAUGGUGAUAACACUCAAUAUUUCGCAAAGUCAUUGUGUUCAAACUGUCUCUCUAUACUGUGGUUGUGAGUGCUGUGAAUUUGAUGCAGGAGUGCAUGAUUAGAAUGAAUGUGAGUGUUCUGGGAAUUGCCGUCCAUGGUGGCCAUGUUUGUAGGCUGCAGUGCAGGAUGGGAAAUGUAGUCACUGGUUUGCUGUGAUAUGACAUAUAGGUUACAUGAGAAUGUGAAAGAGAGCAGCUCAGGAAAACUGCAGCUGCAUGCUGGUUUUAAAUACAGUCGUGAAAAAAACAAGUAUACCCCAUUUAAAUCGUUGGCUUUUUUGACAUAUUUGGACAAGCAAACAUUUGAUAAUCUUUGAAACAGAGCCUAUUAAUGACUUCAUUAAUGGCUUCAGUCAUUAAUCAGCCUAUUAAUGACUCUGUUUCAAACAUGAUCAAAUGUUAGAACAAUAUACUUGAACAAAACCACAAGUACAAUUAGCUUUUUCAAUCAUUUAUUCAACAGAAAUAUCAUUAGAUGUGAUAUCCAUCUGUGGAAAAAGUCAAUACACCAUGGGCCUCAGAAGCUAGUUUUGCCCCCUUUAGCAGAAAUAACAUAUUGUAUGCAUUUUGCAUAGUUGUCCACUAGGUUUGCUGGAAUUUUUUGACCACUCUUCCAUACAAUAUUCUUUCAGUCGCACAAUGUUUGCGGGUUUUCAUGCAGGUACUGCCCAUUUCAAAUCCCCCCAGUUUUUCUGAUAAAACUGAAAUGGAGAUUGGAUACUCACCAUUCCAACGCAGGGCUUUUAACUGCCAUCAACAACUCUGUGACUUGAGUUCUGUCAGAUGCUUGGAAUUACUCGUCAUCAAUGAUGAUACACAGCUCAUCCAGAAUAUGCCUGAAUACUCACUGUUCAGUAACUGGUGUUAUCCUCUGCAUCUGGUCUAACAACAGGGCUCCACUUAAGUCCAAGUCCCUGUCUAUAGUUGAUAUAUCUCAACAGCGAUGACCAGCACCAUAAUUAGCAGCUCAACCCUGAUGUUUCACUUCGUCAUUUUGCUCUUCUGAUCUGUUCCUCCGAUAAAGCCUCAUACAUGAACAGAAAAAUCACAAAAUCUAACAAAAACCUCAAUAUGUUACUACUCGUUGAAACCUGGCAAGUACCCAAUGAUUAUUUGCAGCAGAACCUACUUAUACCACAUGGAUAUAAUCACCUUUCCCGACCAUGGCUACACAGCAAGGUGGGUGGCCUUGCUGUCAUCAAUCAAAAUGAUUUGCAUUUCACCCAACUAAACUUUCACAACACUAAUACAUUAUGUAUUAGUGGUAUACAAUACAAUAUGUGGUAUUGAAGGCUGUUUCUCACUGUCCUCUCACAAUUAUUCUAUUAUAUCAUCCUCCUAAGGCUCAAUCAGACUUUUUCUCCAAACUCAUUGAACUGUUAACUCUUGCCUGUGCUUCGUCAUCACGUGUCCUCUUGCUUGGUGAUGUUAAAAUUCAUGUGGAUACAAUGGGCUCUAACUCAUCUCAACUAUUGUCUGGUUUUUACUGUUUCAAUUUGACUCAACAUGUGACUUUUUCUACUCGCACUCAUGGUCAUACUCUUGAUAUAAUUUGUACAUCUGGGUUUGAAAUUGCUUCAAUCUCUUUUGACAUUAUCAUCUUUGAUCACAAGCUCAUUGAAUUUUGUCUCUGUCUACCUGCUCAAAAGAAAUGCAGUAAAACAAUGAUGAACUUAAAUAUCUUGAUGCCACGUUAGUCUCUGCUUCCAUUGCUGCCGCUACAAUUUCUGAUGUCUUUGAUAUCUCCUGUCCUUCAAUGAUACUCUCAAAGUACCACUCUGUUAUUUCUGUUAUUUUGCAUGAGCACACUCCUAUUAAGACUAGGUCUGUUCCCUCCUCCCACACUUCCUCCUGGUAUACACCUGAGCUCCAGGCCUUAAAAGUCACUGGUAGAUGGCUCAAGCAGCUUUAUAGGAAAACUGGUCUUAUUGUUUACCAUCUAGCUCUCAUUGAUCACCUCAACACAUACAAAACUGCUCUGAACUCUACAUGAUCUAGCUAUGUUUCUUCAAUUGUCAGAAAACAAGCAGUAGGCCUAAGGUUUUGUUUGACACAAUAAAUAAGCUCACUCAGCCUCCAGCUCAUAAUAUUCAUGCAUCUGAAGAGCUCUGUUCUUUUCUGAAUUAUUAACAGGAAAAGUUGAAUGCUGUCUGCCAGUGCUUUGUAGGCAAGGUCUCAGAUUUUAGGUUUCUGCCUGACUACUCUUGUCAACAAUUGUUUAGUUUUAUUCCUACAACCCCCUUUUCAAUCAGUGACUUAUCACUGAAAUCCAGUUAUUCAUCUUCGUCAGUUCUGAUUUGAUCCUGCUCUGAUGCUGUCAUUCUGUC
ensembl:lncRNA